AGCUUCGUGGUCCAGCGGUAAAGAUACUUGCCUCUCACUCUGGAGUCUCGGGUUCGAUUCCCGGCCGAGGAGCUA